rnacentral:misc_RNA from 1 species
CGUAUUGACAGAUUAUCUAGUCCAUAAUAUAUACAAGUUGUCAAUAUUGACCGUAUGCAUCUAAUAAUUACAGGAAUUACAUGUAUAACUACAGUAUGCCGAGAACAGAAUCAUUAAGCUUCUGCAUUUGAUUCGUUCUUGAACAUUAAUUACAGCUGAGAAUGAACUUAGAAGUUAGCGAGAAACUGCAUCUGUUUGAGAAGAGGAGUUAAAGCUUGCAUGAGCUUCUCACAAGGAUGGUUAUGGAUUCCCUCAUAAGUCGUGACUACAAUGCUAGUGUCCUUGGAGAGCCUUUGAACUUGCUUCUUGACGUUGCAUGUAUGAUAGGUGCAGCGAUAGUAACUCCUGGG